rnacentral:rRNA from 1 species
UACGUAGGGGGCAAGCGUUGUCCGGAUUUAUUGGGCGUAAAGAGCGUGUAGGCGGCUUUACAGGUCCGUUGUGAAAACUCGAGGCUCAACCUCGAGACGCCGGUGGAAACCGUAAAGCUAGAGUCCGGAAGAGGAGAGUGGAAUUCCUGGUGUAGCGGUGAAAUGCGCAGAUAUCAGGAGGAACACCCGUGGCGAAAAGCGGCUCUCUGGGGACGGUACUGACGCUGAGACGCGAAAAGCGUGGGGGAGCAAAACAGGGAUAGAUAC